UACAGAGGUCCCGAGCGUUGUUCGGAUUCAUUGGGCGUAAAGGGUGCGUAGGCGGCUUUCUAAGUUUGAUGUGAAAUCCUGGGGCUCAACCCUGGAACUGCAUUGAAUACUGGGAGGCUAGAGAACUGGAGAGGAGACUGGAAUUUACGGUGUAGCAGUGAAAUGCGUAGAGAUCGUAAGGAAGACCAGUGGCGAAGGCGAGUCUCUGGACAGUUACUGACGCUGAGGCACGAAGGCCCAGGGGAGCAAACGGG
rnacentral:rRNA from 1 species